UGAGCCUUGCGUGGGAGCAGGGGCCUGUGGCUGAGCCCUGCCUUCUGCAGGCUGCCCCAGGACAGGGCACGCAGGCGAACACAGGGCUGGGCUCAAUGGGGUGGGGAGCAGAUUCUAGCUCAGUCAGCCAGAAUGUUCUCUAUUGAGAUACAGUUUUUUGUUUGCGAAAAUCCUCAACUUUGGCGACCACCACGAGGUGCUUUAUGUUAGGGCGCGUUCUCCCGUGAGUGAGGCGUGGUUGUCCUAUCCCACAGAUGAAGAAGGGAAGUCACUUGCUUCACCGCCAGGGAAGGGCUCCAGCGAGACAUGGGCUCCUGAAAUUGGAGGUCUGUGAAGGCCCCGGGAGGUACAGGAUCUGUCCCCCCACCCUCCUUAGAUUGCAGCGGGGAAAGAGGUGUGUCUCCCACAGAAAAAUGUGCAUGUUCUUUUAGAUGUGUGGCCUUGGAGCAAAUUAUUUAGCCUGCCUCUAUGUGUUCACCUGGAAAAUGGGAUGAUGCAGAUGGUGAUGAUAAUGGGAACCCCCUCUUGGAGCUGCUGGGCAGAUGAA